rnacentral:snRNA from 1 species
AGAUGUAAGAGCUGUGCAAUCUGGCACCACAAUGAUCGCCAGGGUUGGUUUGCUUGAUCUACCUUGGCUAGGUUGGUGUACUCCUCCUCCCUCUCCACUCCACGUGCGUUUCUCCAGAAGCUGUGUGUGAUGUUGAAGAUGACCUUCCCUAAACGGAGGAGGACUGGUCUUCCAACAAGAGUACAUGGGUAGCUGUGCUCUCCUGCUUGAACCUCCGAACAAGCUAUCAAAACGGCAAAGGUAGUGCGUGAGUUGCCCACAGGGUAGGCUGUAUGGCCAGCAGAUGACAGACU